rnacentral:piRNA from 1 species
UGAACACUUUGGUGGUACUGA